rnacentral:rRNA from 1 species
UACGGAGGGGGCUAGCGUUGUUCGGAAUUACUGGGCGUAAAGCGCACGUAGGUGGCUUUGUAAGUUAGAGGUGAAAGCCCGGGCUCAACUCCGGAAUUGCCUUUAAGACUGCAUCGCUAGAACGUCGGAGAGGUAAGUGGAAUUCCGGAGUGUAGAGGUGAAAUUCGUAGAUAUUCGGAAGAACACCAGUGGCGAAGGCGACUUACUGGACGACUGUUGACACUGAGGUGCGAAAGCGAUGGGGAGCAA